rnacentral:rRNA from 1 species
AUAAGAGUACACGGUGGAUGCCUUGGCCUAGGACGGCUAUGAAGGACGCGACUAACCUGCGAAAAGCUUCGGGGAGGCGGUUUGUAGCCUUUGAUCCGGAGAUGUCCGAAUGGGGGAACCCUACAGUUUCGAACUGUAACCAGCGAGGUAACGCUUGCUUGGUGCGAACCCUGGGAAGUGAAACAUCUCAGUACCAGGAGGAAAAGAGAACAAUAUGAGUUGUGUUCAACUGGCGCGUAUGUUCGUGCUAGGUGAACGCAACUCGCGUGAUACCCUAAGUAGCGGCGAGCGAAAAGGGAAAAGCCCAAACCAGCGACCUCGGUUGCUGGGGUUGUAAGAUGCGAACAGCGUACUUGUACGCGAAGAGUUAUCAAUCGUCUAUAUAGCGGAAGCUGCUGGGAAGCAGCGCCCCAGAGGGUAAUGGCCCCGUACGCGAAAUAUAUGACGACUCUUGUUCGUAUUCUUGAGUAGGUCGAGACACGAAUAGCUCGACUGAAUCUGCCGGAACUAACCGGUAAGGCUAAAUACGUCCUAUGACCGAUAGUGAACUAGUACCGUGAGGGAAAGGUGAAAAGAACCCCGAGAGGGGAGUGAAAUAGACCUGAAACCGUGUACUUACAAGGGGUCGGAGCGGUGAGUUUAUUCGAACCGUGACGGCAUGCCUAUUGAAGAAUGAGCCGGCGAGUGUGUGUAUCUUGCGCAGCUAAGCCCUUCCGGGGUGGAGCUUAAGGGAAACCGAGCGUGAAUAGCGCGUCUGUAGGAUACAUACGACCCGAAGCCAGAUGAGCUUGCCAUGAGCAGGGUGAAAUGCGUCGAAAGACGCAUGGAGGCCCGAACUCGUAGAUCGUACAACGUCUUGGGAUGACUUGUGGCAAGGAGUGAAAAGCUAAUCGA